GACGAACGCUGGCGGCGUGCUUAACACAUGCAAGUCGAACGGAAAGGCCCUGCUUUUGUGGGGUGCUCGAGUGGCGAACGGGUGAGUAACACGUGAGUAACCUGCCCUUGACUUUGGGAUAACGUCAGGAAACUGGGGCUAAUACCGGAUAGGAGCUCCUGCUGCAUGGUGGGGGUUGGAAAGUUUCGGCGGUUGGGGAUGGACUCGCGGCUUAUCAGCUUGUUGGUGGGGUAGUGGCUUACCAAGGCUUUGACGGGUAGCCGGCCUGAGGGGGUGACCGGCCACCUCGGGCCCGCGGGACGGCCCAGGCUCCUACGGGAGCCAGAAGUCGGGAACGUUGCGCAAUGGGCGCACGCCUGAUGCAGCAGCGGCGGGUGCGGGAGGCCGGCCUCCGGGUGGUAAACAGCUUCCGCCUGUCACGAAGGGCGGGUGACGGGAAGGGGAAAAGAAGCAGCGGCUAACUACGUG
rnacentral:rRNA from 1 species